rnacentral:lncRNA from 1 species
CAGGAUCUUGCUUACUCACGACUUCUACUGACCCACUUGGACGAUGCGGGAGGUUGACUUCAUUACAACUUGCUGGAAUCGACUCGGGUGGCAUGGUGUCUGUUUUAUGAUCAUACUGCAAAUAAGUGAAACAGCUAACCUCUUCAGGAAGACUGCCAUGGCUGAUGAUGGCUUAUUUGGCAGGGUGACAGCACCUGGAUCUCCCCACCCCUAAGUGGAGCCUCCUCAGUGGCACAGAAAUUCACUCCUGACACUCCAAGACCCAGAUGACGACCUCGUCUCCUGCACCAAGACCAGAAUAUCAAGUAUAAUAAUGUCAGAUAAUAAAAUAUACUUUAUAUGAUUAAAAUCUAGGGAAGAUUAAGAGAAAUCAAAUAGUGAGGAUGAUAACAAAAACUCAUUACUAGUCAGAAGGGGAACACAAACAAAAUAGCAGGUGAUUAACUAUGGAUGAUUUUUGUUUCAGAAAUUGACAACAUCAUCCUAAACGUAUUAAAGACCUCUUUGACUAACCAGAAUUAAAUUGAAAUGAUGCUGUGGGAGUGGAAGAAGCAUGAAGAGUUUGUAUUUGAUUUUGUAUGUUCAGGGAUACAGAUUUCAAGCAAUUUGUGAUUCUGUGGUAGUGGGAGGUGAUGGUUUCAGUUCUUCUUUAUCUAUUUGCCAAGUUAGUCCCGUAAUGUGAUGCUCUACUCUGAUAUUUAUCAACUAGUUACACAAUCUCCUGUUUUAAGAUCACUCUUCUCAUACACCAUUAUAUUCAUGCAGAAACUGUGGAAAAAUAGAAGCAGACCCUAACCUCUGGAUGAACUGCUCAAUGUUCAGCAGUGUGAUCUUGGUGAGGACAGGUCCAGAGUGACAGGGGUAGUGAGGGGAGCAGGUCCAAGAGAGAUGAGCAGCCUGUGCUGUGCCCAAGUCCCUGGAGUGCUGCAGUAGGAAGGUGCGGGGUUGCCUAGGUUGAAACUGACUUGAAGACCUGAUAGAAGAAAGAAACUCACUACACAUAACAUCAAACUCUUCUCAUACAGGUACUGUACAUUUAAAUGAAUGCCAUAAGUAAUUACGGUAUUCAUCUGUUUCAUAUAAAGACAGGUAUGUACGUGUAUACAUAUACACAUAUUUCUUCAUGGAGGAGAUGCAUACAAGUAUACAUGUGUAUGUGUAUAAGCAUAAUUAGAAGAAUAUUAUUUUGGUGGUGCAGAAUUAGCAUUAUAGACAAUUAUGGAUGACUUAAGACAGACAGGAUACCAAAAAUACUUAAUAUACAGAAUACUGUACAAGAGUUAUAAAAGAAAAUUACAGACAAUAUUCCAGAAUAGGAAAGGUUUAAAAAAUUAAUGUAAUAUAAGAUUUUUAUCUGAAAAACCAGAAAAAUGUGAAAAUGUGUGGUUAGUAUUUAUAAAUUUAGAAAUAUUAAAUUACAUUCAAGAAGUACGCAUCUUGAUAUGAAGACAUAAAUGCUACUAUUAGCUGAUGACAAGUGAUCUACAUGAUUAUCAUUCAGUUUCCUGCAGUUCGGUGUAUGGAAAUCUAAAUGCCCUGUUCAGCAUGCUAUUAGGCCUAUUUAGCAUCUAUCUUGAUUUAAAGAGCUAAAAGAGUUUCAAAGGAAUGCCAAUGGAGUUGUAAAAUUUCGUGAAAAACAUCUGCAGGUAGACAGGUAAGAACAUUAAUUAAGAAAGGCCUCUUGUAAAACAAUGCUGAGUCAAUAUCUUUUGCCACACAUAUGUGUCCUCUUCCAUCCCCAUGAAAAUACCAAAAAACUGAUCUGAAGAAAGAAAAUAGAUGUAAACCUGAAACAACACAUUGCACAAGUGCCAAUAGUGAUCACCAAAGUGGAUAUCAUUCAGGUGUUCCCAAACCUUUUAGCUCGUUGACCCCCGAAUGAAGUCCCAAAUUUCUAUUGUCCCCUAUCUUUUAAUUCAAGGAAAAUAAUUUUAGUAUAAUGACAAAAUCCAUAUGCAGUAGUAGUAGUAGUAGUAGUAGUAGUAGUAGUAGUAGUAGUAGUAGUAGUAGUAGUAGUAGUAGUAGUAGUAGUAGUAGUAGUAGUAGUAGUAGUUUUUUACAUCAAUGAUGGCUGCCAAAGAAAAAAAUACAUAAUAAAAACAGCCAUUUACCACUCCAUAGAGAAAAACAACUUGGUUUAUCAUAAUCAAAUCAUAAUCUAGAUUAUAAAAUCUACAGAUGGAAGCUUCAAUGGUCCCUUCAACCCCAGCAGUAAUUAAUAUUCACUGUCCUUCCUGGUUACUUUAUUCAUUGACCUUCUUUUGACCCCCUGGAUAUUCAUCAAUGCCCUUUUGACCCUUUGGAUAUUCACUGAUCCCCGGGGGGAUCAAUAUUGACCAUUUUGAGAAUUAGUGAUUUAAGCUAAAAUGUAAAUAAGUAUCCUUGUACAGAGACAGGGAAAUACAUAUUGAAAUAAAAACCUUAAUGUUUAAUUUCUUAUUUGUGGCAUUAACCAAUGAUGUGCAAAGGAAGAGGCCUUUGUACACACUUCAAUUUGUUUCAUGUAUUUGCUUGCACUACUGUAUUAUAACUGAAAACAUGCACGUGAUCUCAAUGAGUAAAAGAUUGAAAAGUU